rnacentral:rRNA from 1 species
UACGGAGGGUGCGAGCGUUACCCGGAUUUACUGGGUGUAAAGGGCGUGUAGGCGGUCUCUCAAGUCCGAUGCUAAAGACCGAAGCUCAACUUCGGGGGUGCGUUGGAUACUGUGAGGCUAGACGGUCGGAGAGGGUAGCGGAAUUUCCGGAGUAGCGGUGAAAUGCGCAGAUACCGGAAGGAACGCCAAUAGCGAAGGCAGCUACCUGGACGAUUGGUGACGAUGAGGCGCGAAAGAGUGGGGAGCAAACCGG